GAUGAAGAACGUAGCGAAAUGCGAUAAGUAAUGUGAAUUGCAGAAUUCAGUGAAUCAUCGAAUCUUUGAACGCACAUUGCGCCCCCUGGUAUUCCGGGGGGCAUGCCUGUUCGAGCGUCAUUUCACCACUCAAGCCUCGCUUGGUAUUGGGCAACGCGGUCCCCGCGUGCCUCAAAUCGACCGGCUGGGUCUUCUGUCCCCUAAGCGUUGUGGAAACUAUUCGCUAAAGGGUGUUCGGGAGGCUACGCCGUAAAACAACCCCAUUUCUAAGGUUGACCUCGGAUCAGGUAGGGAUACCCGCUGAACUUAAGCAUAUCAAUAAGCGGAGGA
rnacentral:misc_RNA from 1 species